AAGGCUUACUUUAUGGUCCACACAAAUGUAGGUCCAACCUUGCUGUUAAUAUUACUAGUUUACUACCACUCCACCUGAUGCUAAUUACAUAUUGACAAGAGAGAUUGUAAUUCACAUAUCUUCAUAACUUUGAUAAAUAUAGAUCACCUUUCAAAUCAUGUGUCCUACAUCUCCAAAUAAGCCACAAAAUUUUGAAGAAAAAAGGAGAAUAGGAUUUAAAAUUUCAUAUUUGG
rnacentral:misc_RNA from 1 species